ensembl:processed_transcript
GAAAUCGGAAAAUACGUUAGGGGUAAAACAACCUCAACUUUGAGACGAACUUACUACACAGAUGGGCGUUGGCAUGGGAACCUGCCCCUGGCUGCUACCUGAAUGAGGGCGCAGGGCCUCUGCGAACAGCGCAGUCAAAGGAGUGACCCAGCAGGCUGCACAUUUUUACCUACAGCCGUAUCCAUGACAACAGCCUCAUGCCCACAACCAUUGAACACUUGAUUGACAGAUGUCCAAAUGUCAACCACUCCCUCUCAGAAGAAGCUCUUCAGUUCUGUAGCUGAUUGUGACAAAACACUUCUGCCUGUUCAAAAUAAACAGAAGAAAGCAUGCACUGAAGAUUUGUUACUGUUCCUGUUUUACCGUACCCAUAUUGAACCGUGACCCUAAAAACAAGGAGAUUUGGGACAUCCAGCUCCAGUCCGCCACGCUUUGUCUUUAAUUUGAGAGAUUUGGCAAGUUACCACAAACAAGGCUGGUGAAGUUGAUGUAUUUGAUGGCAGACUUGGAGAGCAAAGGAGGACCUCUUUGGACUUAAAAGCCCCCACACGCUUUUAGAUUUGACCCCACAAUUUUUCUUUCCUUUUGGUCUCAUGUCCUCAUCUCUCUCUUUUUUUGUGCAUCUUAAAUAUACGAGGCAGCAGACAGCUCUGGACAGAGAUAUGAGGAGCCUUCAAAGGCGUGUUGUGACUGCUGUUUCAUCUCAGUACAAAGGGUUAUGCCGAAAUGUGUUCCGCCUUUCAGUAUAUUUUGCAUUUAUGCUAAUGAUGCAUAAAUCGACAGUGCGCUUUUCUCUGCACUACCAUAUGAAUCUGUAAACAAACCGAGGAAGUUAAGCCGUCAAAUUUAAUUUCACUUUUACCAUGAGCUGCGUCCGAGAAUCGUCUUGACGUGUUGAUCUUAAAUUCCAAAAAUAUUUUUUUAUUUUAUUUUGUCUGUUAAAAUAAAUUUUUUCAUCAA